UCGAGAAAAAUUUCCCAAAAAAGUUUCUUUCUCCCAAAACUGGCUCCAAAUGAUCAAGAAUCAGCUGUUAGAGAAAUCAAAUCAAAAAGCAGAAGAAUCAUGGGAAGAGGUGGUCCAAAUUAUGAUGAUGAUGAGGAAGUGAAAUGGACAUCAUGGUUGAGACCACUGCUUCAGACAAGCUUUUUCGUUCAAUGCAAACUCCAUGCUGAUGCUUAUAAGAGUGAAUACAAUAUGUAUUGCAUG